UACGGAGGGUGCAAGCGUUAUCCGGAUUCACUGGGCUUAAAGGGUGCGUAGGAGGGCAGGUAAGUCAGUGGUGAAAUCUCCGAGCUUAACUUGGAAACUGCCGUUGAUACUAUCUGCCUUGAAUAUUGUGGAGGUGAGCGGAAUAUGUCAUGUAGCGGUGAAAUACUUAGAUAUGACAUAGAACACCAAUUGCGAAGGCAGCUCGCUACACAUAUAUUGACUCUGAGGCACGAAAGCGUGGGGAUCAAACAGG
rnacentral:rRNA from 1 species